CCCGCGCGCCGUCCUCCUCCGCUCCACUCUGGCGCGCCGUCGCCUCAUGAAUGAAUCCGCUGCCUCCUCCUCCAACCCCGACGAGGCCUCCCUGGACCUCUCCUUCUUAGGUCUGUGCAUGUGACGCCGGUUGCAAAAGAGGGAAAUAAAUGGAACUGUCAAACUUGGAUGAGGACAUCCAAAUGGUGAACUGUUGUUGGGGCCCACCUUGCUGCCUUAUUAUGCGCAGUUUGGCAAUGUGACCUGGUAUAGAGAGCUGUAGCGGUGACAGAAGACAAACUCAAAUGGAGGUGCUUCUUUCUGGGUAGCACAGGGGACUAAUGACAGUAUGGGCGCCAGGUGAUUGGUGUGGCGUGAUUACAGUACUACACGCAACUGGUUACAACAUUGAACUGUCAAGAUUACAUAGCUGAAAAAGGUAACCGCUGAGCAGUCUCGGAGGGAACAUCGGAUAAAGGCUGGCCAGCUUCGUGUUGUAGGACGACUGGACGAGAUAGCAUUGUCGGCCAGGCCGAGAUGGAAGUGUCCAGCGAUAAUCAGUGGAUCAUGAGUUCACGAGAGAAGACCCUUGAUGAUGUCUUAGAUCUUGUUCCGUUGCGUCUGGAUCAAAGGUGAUGGGUUUCAUUAAACCAAUUGCAUCUAUCAAGAGGAUAUCUGUAUCGGUUAUGUUGGCACCAGAUCUGCCGUUAUGUGCAAUUGGUGAUGAAAAGAGACUCAUGCAAACUAUUCUGAACAUCUCUGGCAAUGCUGUAAAGUUUACCAAGGAGGGACACAUCACGCUUGUAGCUUCCAUUAUGAAGGCUGACUCUUUGAGAGAGUUCAGAACCCCAGAAUUUCAUCCAACUGCAAGUGAUGAACAUUUCUAUUUGAAAGUUCAGGUAAAAGAUACAGGCUGUGGAGUUAGUCCUCAGGAUCUACCUCAUGUAUUCACAAAGUUUGCUCAUCCUCAAAGUGGAGGAAACCGAGGGGUUAAUGGUAGUGGUCUUGGCCUUGCCAUAUGCAAGAGGUUUGUUAGUCUUAUGGGAGGGCACAUCUGGAUCGACAACGAAGGAACCGGAAGAGGUUGCACCGCAACAUUCGUCAUCAAGCUGGGCGUGUGUGACAACACAAACACCUACCAGCAACAGCUGAUAAUGAAGUGCAUCUGAGCAUUUGAAACAAAUCUAGAUUCUAGCUCUAGCUAAGGUUAUACAGAUAUUGUGCUGAACCUUGAUGCUACUAUUAUGUGUAGUAAAAUUUUGGGGGUCGGAAUUGACCAAACUUAUGGAUUUAUUCAACGUUUCAAUUCAGUGACAAAUGCUACUAUUUUCUAUAUUCAGACACUUGGUGGGCUGUCACUUGGGAUCGAAAAGGAUAGGACAUCUACUGUCGCCAUGGGGUUUGUCGAUGACUCCAAAGGGCAUGUUGUCGCUACUAGAGGUGGAGCGAGUGCCCAACCUCGACGCAGGCCUCCCCACCGCGACUGGAAGUAGGAGUACAUUGUACCCUUAGCAAUAUAUUCAGUCGUGAGGACACUGGUAAAAUUAGUGGAACAAUUUGGACCGAGGAAGUGGUCUUACAUAGCACAACUGCUGCCAGCAAGAGUGGGGAAGCGAUGCAGAGAAAGAUGGCACAAGCAUUUGAGGCCAAACAUCAAGUAAUAUUUGGAAUGGUCAUAAGUCAAACUAGACUUCCCUAGCGACAGCGAUUCAACGAAUAAGAACCAGGCCAACAGUUAUGUAGUGCAGAGAUCUACUCCCAGUCCCGGGAACCAUCUUCCAGUGCCUCUUGUACCGAUCAUCGGCAAGGGAGUGCUAGAGGAGGAGGUUAUGGUGAGUUUUGUCGCGACUAAUGGUGAGCCCACGACUACGGCCACGUCAAAGCUGGUCUGGUGGAACCUCGUGGAGCAGAUGACGAUGACGCUGACAUCCUGCACCUCUGCUGUGACGCUGCCGACUAGGACGCGAGCCCCUCCGUCGCGCGCUGUUGAAGUCCGUGGAAGUCUGUAGAAUAUAGGUUGAGGUCGGUUCAGACUGCCUGAACACACCUCCCCCUCUCUCUUUUAUUGGCAUUUUAUGCAUUUGGGUCCUUACAAAAUCUUCUAAUAACACACACACAUACACCAACACUCCCCCUCAAGAUGGGUGAUGAAUGUCUAUCAUCCCCAUCUUGCUACAUGCUAAUAGACACUCUUUAACACCUAAUCCUUUCGUUAAACAAUCAGCUACUUGUUCAUUAGAGGGUACAAAAAUUAGCUUAAGUGUCCCAUCAUCCAGACGUUCUUUAAUAAAGAAGCUAUCGAUCUCCAC